UACAUGGGGUGCAAACGUUGCUCGGAAUUAUUGGGCGUAAGCGCGCGUAGGCGGUUACUUAAGUCGGAUGUGAAAGCCCUCGGCUUAACUGAGGAAGUGCACCCGAAACUGAGUAGCUAGAGUACGAAAGAGGGUCGCGGAAUUCCCGGUGUAGAGGUGAAAUUCGUAGAUAUCGGGAGGAACACCGGUGGCGAAGGCGGCGACCUGGGUCGAGACUGACGCUGAGGCGCGAAAGCGUGGGGAGCAACAGG
rnacentral:rRNA from 1 species